rnacentral:misc_RNA from 1 species
GAUGAAGAACGUAGCGAAAUGCGAUAAGUAAUGUGAAUUGCAGAAUUCAGUGAAUCAUCGAAUCUUUGAACGCACAUUGCGCCCGCCAGUAUUCUGGCGGGCAUGCCUGUUCGAGCGUCAUUACAACCCUCAGGCCCCCGGGCCUGGCGUUGGGGAUCGGCGGAAGCCCCCUGCGGGCACAACGCCGUCCCCCAAAUACAGUGGCGGUCCCGCCGCAGCUUCCAUUGCGUAGUAGCUAAAACCUCGCAACUGGAGAGCGGCGCGGCCACGCCGUAAAACACCCAACUUCUGAAUGUUGACCUCGAAUCAGGUAGGAAUACCCGCUGAACUUAAGCAUAUCAAUAAGCGAGGA